UACGUAGGGGGCAAGCGUUACCCGGAUUUACUGGGCGUAAAGCGCGUGUAGGCGGCUGGCCAAGUGUGGUGUGAAAUCCCCCGGCUCAACCGGGGAACUGCAUUGCAAACUGGUCUGGCUAGAGUGCAGGAGAGGGAAGUGGAAUUCCAGGUGUAGCGGUGAAAUGCGUAGAUAUCUGGAGGAACACCGGUGGCGAAGGCGGCGUCCUGGACCAACACUGACACUGAUGAGCGAAAGCCAGGGGAGCAAACGGG
rnacentral:rRNA from 1 species